GAUAAAUAUACAUUUACAUCACUAAAUGUUGAUAACUUUGGACCCUCCUUGGAUAUAAUUUUCAUAAUUUUCCAUACAACAAUAAAAGAGAUAAAAAGCGAAACAACCAUUAAUCAGGUAGACAGAGAUUUUUUAAAUAUUCAAAUCCCGGUUUUAGGAAAUCUCCAAGUAUACAAGCCCGAACUAGUACAUCUGCUGCGGCGUACGGGUCCAUAUUGGACCCAGGUCGCCUGUCUUCAAAAUACCCACGGCCAUCCAUGUCGACCAGUUUAGGAAUUCUGACUGUCGUUGAUCUUUUCAAUCCUACACCAAACGUGAAUUCCUCAACCUUUGGAAUCCAGUGCUCAGUGUUUUGGCUUUCCAUUCUCUUUGUGUUUUCCGAGUCGGGCGAAGGGUCAUAACAUUUGAACAAUUCCUGUUGAUGCGAUUUAGAUAACAUUUCGAUUGCAUGCAUGAUGUACCUAUAAGAAAUUCAUUGAAAUCGUUAGAGCUGUAGACUUAAGGUUAGCUUAUCACGAAUACAGUUAUUACUUUAUGACAAUCAUGUAAUAAAUUAGGAAUGAAUACCAAUUUGUAUUGAACAAUCAUCGAAAUAUAUGAUUCACAGAACAGACCUAGUGUGUAAAGAACUAGAGUUUUCAACAGUUUGCUGGAUGUGUUUUCAAUUUGGUCUUGCUCUAAAUCUAGGUCAUGUGAUUACUCGGGUAUCAUGGCAUUCAUAAUUGGGUUAUUUGCAUAUUUAUUUAAAUCUCAUCCAAUAUGAAUGUUCUGAUUUAAAGUAAUUGAGCAGUCAUAGCAAAGAAAUUGGUAACGUAUGUACCAAGAUAUCGAGAAACAAAGAUGUCAUGAUGAUUUUUACAUUAAAACAAAGUCAAAUAAAAGUUUUAAUGUCCCUUUUGGUUUUUGGGUUUUUUUUUUUUAAUUGUCCUCAAAUUACAUUUUUGAAAUAUGGGAAAGCGACAUGUCCUUUAAG
rnacentral:sRNA from 1 species